UACGUAGGUGGCAAGCGUUAUCCGGAAUUACUGGGCGUAAAGGGCGCGUAGGCGGGAUGGCAAGUCGGUCGUGAAAUCCCUCGGCUCAACCGAGGAACGUCGAUCGAUACUGCUGUUCUUGAGGAUUGCAGAGGAGACUGGAAUUCCCGGUGUAGCGGUGAAAUGUGUAGAGAUCGGGAGGAACACCGGUGGCGAAGGCGGGUCUCUGGGACGGUACUGACGCUGAGACGCGAAAGCGUGGGGAGCGAACAGG
rnacentral:rRNA from 1 species